GUUCUCCCUCUCACACAUAUUCUCAAUCACCCCCACCUCACUGCUGGUGCCCCUCUCUCUCUCUCUCUCUCUCUCCUAAACACCCACCGCACCAGCUGGGCUCAUCCUCCUUCUCCUCCACUGGUGCCUCCGCCAGAUCCGAUAGAUCGUCGAGAUCUGAAUCAGAUUUGAGUCCUCGUCUCGAUUCCUGCUCUCUCUCAACGUUCUCUCUACCACACCCCUCGAAACAAGCAAAACCCUAACCUAACCGCUCAAUCUCAACCCUCGAUAGAAGUCCUCUCACUCCCUCUCGAGCCCCAAAUCGCCGUGAAAUCGACCAAACGCGCUUGCAUUGUUGGAGUCGCGCUCGAUUGCUACUUCACACAGAUCUCUCAAAUGCCUAGCUGGUCCAAAAAAUAGCUUAGAAAACAUGAACCAGCUUAGAUUACCCAAAGUUGUAGGAAUGGGCCUAGUGCUUUGGGUGUUUUUCAAAAGUGUUUUCGAAAAUCUUCAUCUUCUUUCUCUUCAUCAUCAGCUAGGGUUUCCUGGUUUUUGAGCUCUUCGAAGAUGUCAAUGGCGUCGCAAGAGCAUCUGGACAAGAUGCAGCUUCGCUAGAACUACUGUAAGCUCUGGCACACCAAUCUCAUGGCACCAUUCAGGUCGACACUCCAUAUUGUUGCCUUGCGUUUUGGUGGUUCUAAGAAACAGAUCACCGAGGCAUUCAAACAUCUUAUUCGAUUAUAUGCUUCCUACUCCUUAGAAGUAGUGUCUGUUUUAGUACAGCUUUUGUUGAACGGAUCAGAUUCAAAGAGUUAUCAAGUCAGUCAUAGUACAACUCAUGUGCAGAGUCUAUUUGAUGAUUGGAAGCCUGUCGUUAAGAAAUUGUCAAAUAUAGAACCAGAGUUGCUUCUGAACCUUAUUAAGGCAGUCCUUGAAAAGAUUGAGACUCGAGGCCAUGGAAUAUGAAAGUGUUAAUGCACAGGACGCUGGGCAUCUUGAUCAUUAGUAAGUCCAAGCCUUUUUCUUGCAAAGGGCGCAGGGCAUCAUUGUGAAUUCUAUCCCUUUGUCCAUUAUUCAGAUAGAUGAACUCGUGCACGAAGCUAAAUUGUACAAGACUAAUUGGCGCUAUAAGCAUUUUUGGAAGAAUUAUAUAUUUUUGGAUAAAUGUGUAUGGAAACUAUUUCGAUAGACUAGUAGUUAUAUUUUUGGAUGGAUUAGUAGUUAUAUUUUUGGAUAAAUGUGUAUGGAAAAUAUUUCGAUAGACUAGUAGUUAUAUUUUUAGAUAGACUAGUAGUUAUAUUUUUGGAUGGGUGUAUAUGGAAAAUAUUUCAGUAGAGUAGUUAUAUUUUUUGAUAGAUGCGCAUGGAUAAAAAUUUAAAUUGGAGGAAUAUGUAUUUUGGAAUUACUUGUGGAUGGAAACUUAUAAUAGUUGUUGACUUUUAUUAAA